rnacentral:rRNA from 1 species
CCCUUAGAUGUUCUGGGCUGCACGCGCGCUACACUGACGCACCCAACGGGUUUACGACCUUGCCUGGAAAGGUUGGGUAAUCCUACAAAAAUGCGUCGUGGUGGGGACAGAUUACUGCAAUAACUAAUCUUCAACGAGGAAUUCCUAGUAAGCGCGAGUCAUCAACUCGUGCUGAUUACCUCCCUGCCCUUUGUACACACCGCCCGUCGCUCCUACCGAUUAAGUGAUCCGGUGAAUAGUUCGGACUGCUGCAAUGCUUGGAUCCCGAGAAUUGCGGCGAAAGUUUAGUGAACCUUAUCACUUAGAGGAAGGAGAAGUCGUAACA